rnacentral:lncRNA from 1 species
UCCAAUUAGUUUAAAAUAAUUAACAUUAACUAAAAGUCUUAUGCUCAAUUCAAAUAAAAUAAAAAGUAAUUAGCCAUCAGCUGCUACAAAAACAACUUAAAUGCAACCGAAACAGCAAACCAAAGUUGCGGCCAACGGAAACAUAACACAGUGCAAAAUGGCAAAACAGAAAAUGCUACACAAAGCCACCAUAAGCUGCACUAAACAGCGACAUCUAUAACAGUCCAAGAAACGGAAACACGAAGCCGCGCCAAGCUGCUACAAACAAAAACAACACCAGCUGCUACAACUGCAGCUACUAAAGCUAUAUAAUCCAAAAAACCGUAGUAGGGAAACACAGUGAAUACAAAGUCGAUACGCUCGAAGUCAUUACACUGUCCAAGCUUAAACAACGCACAACAGGCUUAACCAAAACGCAGUGACCGUGCCGUCAAGAUGCAAGAACCCACGGUGAACCUGCAGAACAGUGAACAUGAGAUUAAAGCGCAAUUAACAGUUAACCUGAGAAAUUCUCAAACGGAAGGAAAUAAAAUGGUUCUAACAAACUCCAAAAAACGGAAUAACAGAAAUCUAAAAAUAUCCUAACCAAUUCAUAACUACCCCUAAUCGAUGCUUAACAACAACUAACAGAAACAUAUAGCAGAACAAGCAAAGAAGAAGAUUGAAAAAACUAGAAAAAGGUACCAUCACAAGGGGAGAAAGGGGUUCAUUUUUUCGUUACCGGCUAUCACCUUCACUCUCUGGUUACACUCUCUCGCCAUAUUCGGAGAAAACCUUAUUUCCUCUCUCAUUCCGUUCUUCAUCACCCUCAAUCCAACCUUAUCCUCCGAUGUUAUAACCGCUCCCACGAAGGAAUGCAAAUGCCGCUUCUAGCGGAAACCGAAUCUCAACUCAGUAUACCGCGCCUGUACAUUCGGAGCGAACGUAACAAAAGCGAAAGGGAGAGGAUAACGGAACGGAAGCUUGCGUGAAGAUUUUCGGUGUUCUGUCAUCUUCUCGAGUUCGUCGGUAACCGAAGAAUUUCUCGUCGAAGGUUGGUUAGGCUUCAUCUCUCUUCGUACAUUUUAUCGCCACGAGGUAGCUGUUGGUUUAAGGAGUCAAAUGCCUGUGAUUUGGACUCCAAAUCUCUCUUCUUUCCCAUUUUAUUUUUGGUUUGGUUGAUCGGACGAGAUUAGAGAAGAAGAUUUAGUUGGAUGUAGGAGGUGAGUAUUCGAGAGCCCCUCCGCCGCCUAUGAAGAGCUUUGGCGCGGCGGAGCUUUUGGAGCGCCGGUGUUCCUCCGUCUCUCCACUUUUCG